rnacentral:rRNA from 1 species
CUAUGCAGUGCGCAGCUACACAUGCAGUCGAACGGACCCUUCGGGGUUAGUGGCGGACGGGUGAGUAACACGUGGGAACGUGCCUUUAGGUUCGGAAUAGCUCCUGGAAACGGGUGGUAAUGCCGAAUGUGCCCUUCGGGGGAAAGAUUUAUCGCCUUUAGAGCGGCCCGCGUCUGAUUAGCUAGUUGGUGAGGUAAUGGCUCACCAAGGCGACGAUCAGUAGCUGGUCUGAGAGGAUGACCAGCCACAUUGGGACUGAGACACGGCCCAAACUCCUACGGGAGGCAGCAGUGGGGAAUCUUGCGCAAUGGGCGAAAGCCUGACGCAGCCAUGCCGCGUGAAUGAUGAAGGUCUUAGGAUUGUAAAAUUCUUUCACCGGGGACGAUAAUGACGGUACCCGGAGAAGAAGCCCCGGCUAACUUCGUGCCAGCAGCCGCGGUAAUACGAAGGGGGCUAGCGUUGCUCGGAAUUACUGGGCGUAAAGGGCGCGUAGGCGGAUCGUUAAGUCAGAGGUGAAAUCCCGGAGCUCAACUUCGGAACUGCCUUUGAUACUGGCGAUCUUGAGUGUGAGAGAGGUAUGUGGAACUCCGAGUGUAGAGGUGAAAUUCGUAGAUAUUCGGAAGAACACCAGUGGCGAAGGCGACAUACUGGCUCAUUACUGACGCUGAGGCGCGAAAGCGUGGGGAGCAAACAGGAUAAA